ACCAGACUCCUACGGGAGGCAGCAGUGGGGAAUAUUGGGCAAUGGAGGCAACUCUUACCCAGCAAUGCCGCGUGAAUGAAGAAGGUCUUCGGAUUGUAAAGUUCUUUAAUUGGGGACGAAAAAAAUGACGGUACCCAAGGAAUAAGCCCCGGCUAACUACGUGCCAGCAGCCGCGGUAAUACGUAGGGGGCAAGCGUUGUUCGGAAUGACUGGGCGUAAAGCGCUCGUAGGCGGUAUGUCAAGUCAAGGGUGAAAUCCCCGCGCUCAACGUGGGAACUGCCUUUGAAACUGGCAAACUGGAGUGUGUGAGAGGAUAGUGGAAUUCCAGGUGUAGGAGUGAAAUCCGUAGAUAUCUGGAGGAACAUCAGUGGCGAAGGCGGCCUGCUGGACCGUGACUGACGUUGAGGCUCGAGAGCGUGGGGAGCAAACAGGAUUAGAUACCCUGGUAGA
rnacentral:rRNA from 1 species